rnacentral:rRNA from 1 species
AGACGGCUCAGUAACACGUAGUCAAUCUAACCUGUGGACGAGGAUAACCUCGGGAAACUGAGAAUAAUACCCGAUAGAUCAUUAUGCCUGGAAGGGUUUAUGGUUCAAAUGAAUUUCGCCAUAGGAUGGGACUGCGGUCUAUCAGCUUGUUGGUGAGGUAAUGGCCCACCAAGGCUAUAACAGAUACGGGCUCUGAGAGGAGAAGCCCGGAGAUGGGUACUGAGACACGGACCCAGGCCCUAUGGGGCGCAGCAGGCGAGAAAACUUUGCAAUGUGCGAAAGCACGACAAGGUUAAUCCGAGUGAUUCCUGCUAAAGGAAUCUUUUGUUAGUCAUAAUACCACUGAUGAAUAAGGGGUGGGCAAGUUCUGGUGUCAGCCGCCGCGGUAAAACCAGCACCUCAAGUGGUCAGGGGGAUUAUUGGGCCUAAAGCAUCCGUAGCCGGCUUUGUAAGUUUUCGGUUAAAUCUAUAUGCUCAACAUAUAGGCUGCCGGGAAUACUGCAAAGCUACGGAAUGGGAGAGGUAGAUGGUACUCCGUAGGAAGGGGUAAAAUCCUUUGAUCUAUGGAUGACCACCUGUGGCGAAGGCGGUCUACCAGAACACGUCCGACGGUGAGGGAUGAAAGCUGGGGGAGCAAACCGGAUUAGAUACCCGGGUAGUCCCAGCUGUAAACUAUGCAAACUCAGUGAUGCAUUGGCUUGUGGCCAGUGCAGUGCCGCAGGGAAGCCGUUAAGUUUGCCGCCUGGGAAGUACGUUCGCAAGUAUGAAACUUAAGGGAAUUGGCGGGGGAGCACCACAAGGGGUGAAGCCUGCGGUUCAAUUGGAGUCAACGCCAGAAAUCUUACCCGGAGAGACAGCAGAAUGAAGGUCAAGUUGAAGACUUUACCAGACAAGCUGAGAAGUGGUGCAUGGCCGUCGCCAGCUCGUGCCGUGAGAUGUCCUGUUAAGUCAGGUAACGAGCGAGAUCCUUGCCUCUAGUUGCCACCAUUACUCUCAGGAGUAAUGGGGCGAAUUAGCGGGACUGCCGUAGUUAAUACGGAGGAAGGAGAGGGCCACGGCAGGUCAGUAUGCCCUGAAACUCUGGGGCCACACGCGGGCUGCAAUGGUAGUGACAAUGGGUUC